CCUCCUCCUCCUCCUCUUCCUCCUCCGUUAGCUCAGUGGUUCCUGCUCCUCCUCCUCCUCCUCUUCCUCCUCCUCCUUUAGCUCAGUGGUUCCGGCUCCUCCUCUUCCUCCGUUAGCUCAGUGGUUCCUGCUCCUCCUCCUCCUCCUCCUCUUCCUCCUCCUCCUCCUCCUCCUCCUCAUAUGUCUCUGUCUUAACGAGGUCUCGUCACUCCGUUCUGCUCGUUAAGCUGAGCUGGGCCCCACCCCCCGCCCCCAGCCUGCUACUGGGACCGGGUCUGGUCUAGAGGGUCCCAGGUGGUCCUGGAUCCUCCAGACCUGCCCCCGCUCAGCCCCCUCUGGUGGAUUAAUUUAUUUCAGUUUGGAUUGUUACAGACGUGCACAACUUUUAAAAAGGGCUUCAUUAUGAGGUUUACCAGUCCUGACCUCUGACCUCUGAGUGCCCCACGUUGACCUUUCACCUUCCUGGCCUCGAUGGAGACAGAGUUCCACACGUCCGUGGGUUUCACCACGGACCCCCCCCCCCACCCGUGUACAUUUUGUAGAAAGUAAAUAUUUUAAAAGAGGCCACGUAUAUACAUUGUAUGUGUAUGAUGUGUUUAUAUAGAGACGUAGGGUCGAUGGAGUCCUUCAGCGUUCUUAAUGAGAUGGCCUUCCCCUACUUGGGUCCGGACUCAGGGGGAACCUUUGGUACGUAGAACGCGUUCCACUUCCUCCUGGGACCUGACCUGGCGUGCCAUACGAUAUGCAACACAGAAUCCAGUGCUGUUAACCAGAGCGUCUCUGACACAUGUCUGUACGCGGCGAAUGUCACCUGUUCAUGACCUUGUUUGUAACACCAAAGAAAUGUCAUCAUGCGUUUUAUGAUGUUGAAUAUUUUCUAUUUUAUAAAUGCUCUACAAGAG